AUGUGCAGCAAUGCAUCCAAAUCUGAAAAGCUGCCACAUCAUGCACGUGCUGUGAGCAGCCAUUUUACCAUGGACUUCCCAGGCACUACACUUGAUGUACUAUGUAAUUUCACACAUGGCCCUUGGAAAGUGGGUUUAAUGGCGCUUGGAUCGCACUGCUGCCUCCACUCCCCCUGUGUGCCUCAGAAGUGGUGGAACGACAGCGGCCGGCCACAGGAUGGAGGCAGGAUCUCACCUUCACCACAUGAAGAUAAGUGUCAUUGUUCUAAUUCCAAAUCAUAGCACAUAACAAGCUCUUCUAGUUUAAUGAUCAGCAGCUGAUGAGGCCAUGAUAAAAAAAAAAAACUAUUGAAACACACAUUGUUUAACACCAGGCUGAUGUCUUCCCCAGUUGUGGACGAUGCGCUGCGUUCAUUGAAGAGAAGCCCAGAGAUGAAUCCUGUCACAGCUGAUCCUGUGGCACCUGUUAACUCCAGUCACUGUGUAGGUCGCUCCACGGCCUUUGACCUCAGAGCCACAGCUCCUGCUUUUAUUCGUCCACACGCCUCCUGUCAGAUCGCUUUCUCACCUGCAUUCGCCUCCAGGCGUUUGGUUUGGGAUUCUCUAUCAUCCAGCUGAGGUUGUCUGAAGGUUGAGUCUGUUGUCUGACCCUGUAGAAGCAUUUCUCCACCAUACAGGAAGCCUCUUCAUUCUGGAACCUUUGGGAAUUGAUGUCAUGCCUCUAUUAUAGAUGAUGUUGAGGUCAUGAUGUGACCUGUGAGAAGCGCUGUUUCACCUUCGCUGCUGUGUCUCUGCUCCUGGUUCCCUUGUUUCUUUGUGUGUGUUUGUCCCUGAGUUUGUUGUGCAGGUAGCUUAAUGUUGAACAUUAAACAUGUUAGUUGACUCUGAGUUUGUAUUUUUCUGGCUUGGCUAUACAUUCAAAGGCUAAACCUAUUCAUAAUAGUGAAGGGGUCUGUGCCAGCAUGAAGCCACCUCCUUCUUUAAGUUUGGAAAUGGAUGCACAAUAAGACAAGGACGCAAGUGUUUAGGUAUGAAUUAGGUAGCAAGUGGUGCUUGAUGACGUUUCCCAUUGAUGUGAUGCUGUAGCAUGUUCAGUGUCUACUAACACUUGGCUGCUGCCCCCCUACUCAGGUAGUUCUGCACCAGAGGAGCCUAAGGACCUGCAGCACAGCAGCCACACAUACGCUAAAUUAGAAUGAAUGAGCCUCAGUGAAGCCCUAUGGGAAACCAUGACUUUGACAAGAGUCGCCAGAAGCAGAACCAGAGCAGAUGAUGGUUUACACACACCGUUAACGAGUCAUAACAGGGAUCGCUGGCGCUUUUGUUCUGGGAUGACCGUCUCAGCCAAGGGCAGGAAUCUGGAGCACAGCUGUUACUUCACAGCAGGAGGAGAUGCAGCAGGUUUUCCACCAGCGACUUAUCCACUCCUCACUGAAUGAGGGGACUAUGGGCACAGAAACCACUCAUCCUUUAUCUCUAUUUGGUUCUCCUGGUUCCAUUCUCCUCCUCUGUAAAUAAAAUGGAAUCAGUCCAAACA
rnacentral:lncRNA from 1 species